ACAACCGCUUAUACGUAUCUAACAUUACGAAAAUGUGUUCUCAAAUGCUUUGACCUUUAUAUCUUUAAGCCAUUCAAACAACAAUUAAAACCUUAAACAUCUAAAAUGAUAAGAGGGAAGUGUUUACCAUAUAAAAUCUCGUCUCGACCUGCGGAAAUCCGUUGAAUGGGUCCGGGAGUUCCCCCAAACACUUCAGUGGAUAAUCAUUUAGAAAAAUUGUAUCCCCAAUGAAGUGCUCAGAGGAACUCUAGGAGACAUCCAACCAAGAAUAUUGUUUCUUGAGUAUUUCAUGUACUAUGAGUGGAAUACGACUAUACGAGUACAAGAGGUUGAUGUAAGUUUUGAGAAGAUGAAAGUAGUUACGUUUCUUUAUAUAUAGACUAUAGUUAAAGGCUUAAAGGAUAAUCUCCAUACAUAUGUCUAUUAUUACACAGAGAUAGCGAGACAGAGAGAUCAUAAGAUGAUGACCAAGGAAACCUUUUUGAAUAUAGACGCAAUUUU
rnacentral:precursor_RNA from 1 species